GGGCAGGUGGCCGAGUGGUUAAAGGCGACAGACUGUAAAUCUGUUGGUGUAAGCCUACGGGGGUUCGAAUCCCUCCCUGCCCACCA
rnacentral:tRNA from 2 species